rnacentral:lncRNA from 1 species
ACCAGAUGACUUUUGGGGUAUGUCCUAUCAUUAAGCUGACUUACACAAAGCCAUAUCCUGAUUGCGUAGACCAAGCAUAUCCAGGGCCUAGAGAGUAUAAAGUGCCAGAAUUCUCACUGUUUACCGGUUUAGGGGAGGUGUCUACUCUAGAACACAUAGGACGAUUCACACUGCAAAGUGAUGACGUAACUGAUUAUCACAAAAUGAGGCUUUUCCCUAGUUCAUUAACAGGAGUGGCUUUCUCCUGGUUCAUAAAUUUGCCAGCGAAUUCUGUUCAAACAUGGCAAUAACUAGAACAAUUGUUCCACGCUCAGUUUUAUAAGACUGAGUCUGAAGUCACUUUGGCUGAUUUGGCGAACCUACGUCAAAUGCCAAACGAAUGGGCAGAAGGUUUUCUCCAAAGGUUCAAGACAGCAAGAAGUAAAUGUUUUAUUCCUCUGCCUGAAAAAGAGUUUGUCAAAAUCACUCAAGGUUGUUUGAGCUUUGACUUAAAAAAGAAAUUCCAAGACAAGGAAUUUCCUGACCUUUUUCAAUUAAGUGCAAACGUGAUUAGGUAUGAACGAUUGAUAAGAGAAGAAUAGCAGAUGAAAAAUUCUAGUAAGGGGACUUAUUAUAGAGACCUAAAUUUUGAUGUUCAUACUAUCAAUGAUGAGUCAUACGAUCUGACCGAAA